UGGGGAAUCUUGGACAAUGGGGGCAACCCUGAUCCAGCCAUGCCGCGUGAGUGAUGAAGGCCUUAGGGUCGUAAAGCUCUUUCGCCUGUGAAGAUAAUGACGGUAGCAGGUAAAGAAACCCCGGCUAACUCCGUGCCAGCAGCCGCGGUAAUACGGAGGGGGUUAGCGUUGUUCGGAAUUACUGGGCGUAAAGCGCACGUAGGCGGACCAGAAAGUUGGGGGUGAAAUCCCGGGGGCUCAACCCCGGAACUGCCUCCAAAACUAUUGGUCUAGAGUUCGAGAGAGGUGAGUGGAAUUCCAAGUGUAGAGGUGAAAUUCGUAGAUAUUUGGAGGAACACCAGUGGCGAAGGCGGCUCACUGGCUCGAUACUGACGCUGAGGUGCGAAAGUGUGGGGAGCAAACAGGAUUAGAUACCCUGGGUAGUCCACACCGUAAAACGAUGAAUGCCAGUCGUCGGGUAGCAUGCUAUUCGGUGACACACCUAACGGAUUAAGCAUUCCGCCUGGGGAGUACGGUCGCAAGAUUAAAACUCAAAGGAAUUG
rnacentral:rRNA from 1 species